UGGGGAAUAUUGCACAAUGGAGGGAACUCUGAUGCAGCGACGCCGCGUGAGUUAUGAAGGACUUCGUUUCGUAAAACUCUGUUCUAUGGGAAGAAAAGGACUGUACCAUAGGAGAAAGCUCCGGCUAAAUACGUGCCAGCAGCCGCGGUAAUACGUAUGGAGCGAGCGUUUUCGGGAAUUAUUGGGCGUAAAGGGUGCGCAGGCGGCUUUACAAGUUGGAUGUGAAAUAUUGUGGCUCAACCACAAACGUGCAUCCAAAACUGCAAAGCUUGAGUUAAGGAGAGGUAAGUGGAAUUCCUGGUGUAGCGGUGGAAUGCGUAGAUAUCAGGAGGAAUACCGGUGGCGAAGGCGACUUACUGGAAUUAAACUGACGCUCAGGCACGAAAGCGUGGGGAGCAAACAGG
rnacentral:rRNA from 1 species